ACUACGUGCCAGCAGCCGCGGUAAUACGUAGGUGGCAAGCGUUAUCCGGAUUUAUUGGGCGUAAAGAGAGUGCAGGCGGUUUUCUAAGUCUGAUGUGAAAGCCUUUCGGCUUAACCGGAGAAGUGCAUCGGAAACUGGAUAACUUGAGUGCAGAAGAGGGUAGUGGAACUCCAUGUGUAGCGGUGGAAUGCGUAGAUAUAUGGAAGAACACCAGUGGCGAAGGCGGCUACCUGGUCUGCAACUGACGCUGAGACUCGAAAGCAUGGGUAGCGAACAGGAUUAGAUACCCUGGUAGUCCAUGCCGUAAACGAUGAGUGCUAGGUGUUGGAGGGUUUCCGCCCUUCAGUGCCGGAGCUAACGCAUUAAGCACUCCGCCUGGGGAGUACGACCGCAAGGUUGAAACUCAAAGGAAUUGACGGGGGCCCGCACAAGCGGUGGAGCAUGUGGUUUAAUUCGAAGCUACGCGAAGAACCUUACCAGGUCUUGACAUCUUGCGCCAACCCUAGAGAUAGGGCGUUUCCUUCGGGAACGCAAUGACAGGUGGUGCAUGGUCGUCGUCAGCUCGUGUCGUGAGAUGUUGGGUUAAGUCCCGCAACGAGCGCAACCCUUGUUACUAGUUGCCAGCAUUAAGUUGGGCACUCUAGUGAGACUGCCGGUGACAAACCGGAGGAAGGUGGGGACGACGUCAGAUCAUCAUGCCCCUUAUGACCUGGGCUACACACGUGCUACAAUGGACGGUACAACGAGUCGCGAACUCGCGAGGGCAAGCAAAUCUCUUAAAACCGUUCUCAGUUCGGACUGCAGGCUGCAACUCGCCUGCACGAAGUCGGAAUCGCUAGUAAUCGCGGAUCAGCAUGCCGCGGUGAAUACGUUCCCGGGCCUUGUACACACCGCCCGUCACACCAUGAGAGUUUGUAACACCCAAAGUCGGUGGGGUAACCUUUU
rnacentral:rRNA from 2 species